rnacentral:lncRNA from 1 species
GACAAAGAAGGACAGCUGCAGCAGCCAACAUACAAGUCUGCCAAUAUUUUGUACAAAUAGAAGUAGAUGGUUUGUUGCAGCACAGAAAGUUUGUUGUGCACAUGUGGACUGAUGCCAAUGGAACCAAUGGAAUGUCUCUGGGUACACAUUCACUGGGACUGAGUUUGGAUACCAAGCAAGCUUGAAGUUCCGCAGCGUUUCAGGCUGAAGACAGAGAUACAAGAUACAAGGAUACAGGAUACAAGAGACAAUUGAUGCUUUAACCAUGAAUUUCACUGAAAUCUAGUAGCCAUGCUGAAAAGAGGUCCUGAGCAAGUCUAAACAGUGAAUAAGCUUAUGACACUGUUUACAGCCAUUAAGA